rnacentral:rRNA from 1 species
GUGGGGAAUAUUGGACAAUGGGCGAAAGCCUGAUCCAGCCAUGCCGCGUGUGUGAAGAAGGUCUUCGGAUUGUAAAGCACUUUAAGUUGGGAGGAAGGGCAGUAAGUUAAUACCUUGCUGUUUUGACGUUACCGACAGAAUAAGCACCGGCUAACUUCGUGCCAGCAGCCGCGGUAAUACGAAGGGUGCAAGCGUUAAUCGGAAUUACUGGGCGUAAAGCGCGCGUAGGUGGUUUUGUCAGUUGGAGGUGAAUUCCCCGGGCUCAACCUGGGAACUGCCUCCAAAACUGCAUGACUAGAGUACGGUAGAGGGUAGUGGAAUUUCCUGUGUAGCGGUGAAAUGCGUAGAUAUAGGAAGGAACACCAGUGGCGAAGGCGACUACCUGGACUGAUACUGACACUGAGGUGCGAAAGCGUGGGGAGCAAACAGGAUUAGAAACCCGUGUAGUCC